GCUGGGAGCUAUAGCUCUCUGCAGCUCUCAUAUAGUUGCCCACUGAAGCCAAGCAAGAAGGGCCGAGUCAGUAACUGGAUGGGGGACCACAUGGGAAAGCUAGGUUGCUUCUGGAA
rnacentral:rRNA from 1 species